rnacentral:rRNA from 1 species
UACGUAGGGACCAAGCGUUGUUCGGAUUUACUGGGCGUAAAGGGCGCGUAGGCGGCUUGGUAAGUCACUUGUGAAAUCUCUGAGCUUAACUCAGAACGGUCAAGUGAUACUGCUGUGCUAGAGUGCAGAAGGGGCAAUCGGAAUUCUUGGUGUAGCGGUGAAAUGCGUAGAUAUCAAGAGGAACACCUGAGGUGAAGGCGGGUUGCUGGGCUGACACUGACGCUGAGGCGCGAAAGCCAGGGGAGCUAACGGG